rnacentral:rRNA from 1 species
UGCAGUCGAGGGGCAGCAUCAUCAAAGCUUGCUUUGAUGGAUGGCGACCGGCGCACGGGUGAGUAACACGUAUCCAACCUGCCGACAACACUGGGAUAGCCUUUCGAAAGAAAGAUUAAUACCGGAUGGCAUAGUUUUCCCGCAUGGGAUAAUUAUUAAAGAAUUUCGGUUGUCGAUGGGGAUGCGUUCCAUUAGGCAGUUGGCGGGGUAACGGCCCACCAAACCUACGAUGGAUAGGGGUUCUGAGAGGAAGGUCCCCCACAUUGGAACUGAGACACGGUCCAAACUCCUACGGGAGGCAGCAGUGAGGAAUAUUGGUCAAUGGACGAGAGUCUGAACCAGCCAAGUAGCGUGAAGGAUGACUGCCCUAUGGGUUGUAAACUUCUUUUGUACGGGAAUAAAGUGAGCCACGUGUGGCUUUUUGUAUGUACCGUAUGAAUAAGGAUCGGCUAACUCCGUGCCAGCAGCCGCGGUAAUACGGAGGAUUCGAGCGUUAUCCGGAUUUAUUGGGUUUAAAGGGAGCGUAGGCGGGUUGUUAAGUCAGUUGUGAAAGUUUGCGGCUCAACCGUAAAAUUGCAGUUGAUACUGGCGACCUUGAGUGCAACAGAGGUAGGCGGAAUUCGUGGUGUAGCGGUGAAAUGCUUAGAUAUCACGAAGAACUCCGAUUGCGAAGGCAGCUUACUGGAUUGUAACUGACG